AUUGAACGCUGGCGGCAGGCCUAACACAUGCAAGUCGAACGAAGUGGCGAACGGGUGAGUAACGCGUAAUCAACCUGCCCUUCAGAGGGGGACAACAGUUGGAACCGACUGCUAAUACCGCAUACUGAAGGAGGGGCUUGCGUCUGAUUAGCUAGUUGGAGGGGUAACGGCCCACCAAGGCGAUGAUCAGUAGCCGGUCUGAGAGGAUGAACAGCCACAGUGGGACUGAGACACGGCCCAGACUCCUACGGGAGGCAGCAGUGGGGAAUAUUGGACAAUGGGCGAAAGCCUGAUCCAGCCAUGCCGCGUGUGUGAAGAAGGUCUUCGGAUUGUAAAGCACUUUAAGUUGGGAGGCGUUACCAACAGAAGAAGCACCGGCUAACUUCGUGCCAGCAGCCGCGGUAAUUC
rnacentral:rRNA from 1 species